rnacentral:rRNA from 2 species
GAGUAACACGUGGGUAACCUACCUAUAAGACUGGGAUAACUCCGGGAAACCGGGGCUAAUACCGGAUAAUAUUUUGAACCGCAUGGUUCAAUAGUGAAAGACGGUUUCGGCUGUCACUUAUAGAUGGACCCGCGCCGUAUUAGCUAGUUGGUAAGGUAACGGCUUACCAAGGCGACGAUACGUAGCCGACCUGAGAGGGUGAUCGGCCACACUGGAACUGAGACACGGUCCAGACUCCUACGGGAGGCAGCAGUAGGGAAUCUUCCGCAAUGGGCGAAAGCCUGACGGAGCAACGCCGCGUGAGUGAUGAAGGUCUUCGGAUCGUAAAACUCUGUUGUUAGGGAAGAACAAAUUUGUUAGUAACUGAACAAGUCUUGACGGUACCUAACCAGAAAGCCACGGCUAACUACGUGCCAGCAGCCGCGGUAAUACGUAGGUGGCAAGCGUUAUCCGGAAUUAUUGGGCGUAAAGCGCGCGUAGGCGGUUUCUUAAGUCUGAUGUGAAAGCCCACGGCUCAACCGUGGAGGGUCAUUGGAAACUGGGAAACUUGAGUGCAGAAGAGGAGAGUGGAAUUCCAUGUGUAGCGGUGAAAUGCGCAGAGAUAUGGAGGAACACCAGUGGCGAAGGCGGCUCUCUGGUCUGUAACUGACGCUGAUGUGCGAAAGCGUGGGGAUCAAACAGGAUUAGAUACCCUGGUAGUCCACGCCGUAAACGAUGAGUGCUAAGUGUUAGGGGGUUUCCGCCCCUUAGUGCUGCAGCUAACGCAUUAAGCACUCCGCCUGGGGAGUACGACCGCAAGGUUGAAACUCAAAGGAAUUGACGGGGACCCGCACAAGCGGUGGAGCAUGUGGUUUAAUUCGAAGCAACGCGAAGAACCUUACCAAAUCUUGACAUCCUUUGACCGCUCUAGAGAUAGAGUCUUCCCCUUCGGGGGACAAAGUGACAGGUGGUGCAUGGUUGUCGUCAGCUCGUGUCGUGAGAUGUUGGGUUAAGUCCCGCAACGAGCGCAACCCUUAAGCUUAGUUGCCAUCAUUAAGUUGGGCACUCUAGGUUGACUGCCGGUGACAAACCGGAGGAAGGUGGGGAUGACGUCAAAUCAUCAUGCCCCUUAUGAUUUGGGCUACACACGUGCUACAAUGGAUAAUACAAAGGGCAGCGAAUCCGCGAGGCCAAGCAAAUCCCAUAAAAUUAUUCUCAGUUCGGAUUGUAGUCUGCAACUCGACUACAUGAAGCUGGAAUCGCUAGUAAUCGUAGAUCAGCAUGCUACGGUGAAUACGUUCCCGGGUCUUGUACACACCGCCCGUCACACCACGAGAGUUUGUAACACCCGAAGCCGGUGGAGUAACCUUUUAGGAGCUAGCCGUCGCAAG